UCAUGAUCCAUGAGUCAGGUCUGUGAGUGCUGGGAUGAUGUAAGGUGAUGACGAAGAUGUGUGACAGUACUGCCGACGCUGGUAUAUGUGUAUGUCUCUGGAGGUUAAAAUAAAACUCGAGGUGUUCAGCCCCAGUCCGGUUUGAAAGGUUUGGGGACUAAAGCAUGUGGCACAUGUUAUGGCGUCUGUUUAAUUUGGAUGCUUCUACCAGAUUCAUUUUGUGCCAAAUGUUUGAUUGGAAACAGCUUUUGAUGUCAACAACAGAAGAUAUGGGGAACCUUUUUCUUCACUGUUAACAUUUGGUGAGCCUUUUUAUUUUUUGCUAUUCUGUUCUGUGCACAUACGAUCAUUUCCCCUGCUGUUUUUCUCCUCAGAACAGACCUGUGUCCCACCACUUGAGACCUACUUUGAUAGAUUACCUCAGACAAGGUUCCCUUUUCCUGUUUCUCUUUCUCGUUUCUUUUCUUCAUGAGCUCUGUCUUUUGUUACUCUAGCAGCGCGCUGACGUAUUUCCUCCACCCCGAUGCAGCCUAACCGUGCAUCUGUGAUUGUUUCUCUAAAAGUAUUUUGAGUAAGAGCGAUGGAAAGGGUGCUCAUUUGUGUGUGCGUACUUUCACGUGUGGAUAAGAUAGAUGGGAAGGAAAAGGGAAUUAAAGAGUGGGAGGAAUAACAUUUCUUUGCAGUCUGCGAUAUGGAAAGUCUCCUUGUCUUGCAGGUGCAUUGUAGAGAUAAGAGGAAGAAAAGGAGGAAGAGAGAGAGAGAGGGAAACCGCAUGUGUGCAGCACAUGAAACAUCCAACUGAAAGAGGUUGAAAAGGAGAAAAUAAUCAGACAUUACACAACACUUCCUGAGUUUCCCUCUGUGCAGGAAUGAAAGCCUGGAAAUUCCACGGUGAGCGUAACGGACAGAUAUGUUAGCAAUCAUGUCCCAAAAUCCAAAAAGAGACUUUAUUCCACUGCCGUUUAACACGUGUGGCAGAGCAAUCCUGCUCUGCACCGAAACGCAAGAGGACAUGUUACAUCACAGCCCUGUCCUCAUGCCUCACUGACUCACAUUUGCCACUUGAUGGCAACUGUUGCUUCAACUCAACCGAGCUGAGUUAUAACUAGCUUGAUUAAGGUAUUUAUGUCGAGAGCUCAGAAGGAAAGGCCUUAAGAGCAUGGCUUGUCCUCUGUCCCAUUGAAGAUAGUAGAUCUCUUCCAAAACCUAGUGAUCUGCCUAGGUAGUAUUUUCAGACAUAAGCCCGCUCCUGACAUGAAGACUGCUCUAACAGGCAGGUCAUAUUAAUUCUGGGUGGCGUACACAAGACGACUGUAGGAAUGUGUUGUCUGCUAAACAUUUUUGAUGCUGCUUUCAUAUAUUUUGAAAUACAGUUAUGAUAUAAAAAUAUUCAUAUGCUGAAGUACGUUUUUUUGUUCUGCCUAGCAAAUUCAAAGACAGCACUGCUGUGAAUGCAUCACAGAUGAGGCAAACCCAGAAUGCAUUGCAGCAAGUGCAUUAAAUUCAAACAAAAUGAGAUCAAGGCGAGAGGUGUUCCAAUUAACAGGGUUCUUACAAAGUGUUCAUUGCUCCCUUCACUUCACUUGAAAAAAAAAAUGUGUUCAUUCAUAAGACCCACUACAAUUAAGUUGCGCAUAUAAGAGGAGUUUAAGGUUAAAUCACAUAAUAUAUAAUCACAUAAUAUACUUCUGUAAAUAAAUGUAAUAUAAAUUACUAUAUAUAUUUGACAAUGACAUUUUUGCUAAAUAUUUGUAGGCCUACUGUAAAUGUUCAUAAGUAAUAAAAUAUUGCAUUGUGUUAUUAGCUUAGAAGUCCAUUGUGCUUUGCAUAAGGAACACAAUUUGUAUAACAGACCAAGUUGUUAUCUGUGUAGAGCAGUUUUCGGUUGAGGAUUUCAGUUUGGAAAAUGCAGAAGGAAGCUGCCUAUGCACUGUAAGAAAGAAAACUAAAUCCAUAGAAAGACAGACAAUGUCCUAGCAGAAAAUUACCAGUAGCUUUAUGUGGUAAACUGCAUGAAAACAGAUCAAAAAUGUCUUUCAUCAGAAAGAUUUGGCUAACUAUCUUUCUUGGUGUAAUUAACUGCUGCAUUUGAAUAAAAGGUUGUCCGCUUGUUCUUUGUAUGUGCUUUAUGAUUGAUCUGCAGACUAGUGCACUCAUCUGAGUUGUACAUUCAGUGAGUUCCCAGGGCUUACUGGAUUUGAGAUGUCUGAGUCCUGUCAGUUUUCAUUUACACAGACAUGAAGACGCGUCCCUUCAGAGAUGAAUCAUGUCUGUUUGUUUGAGGGUUGGAUCUAUAUUAGCAUGCCGUCUUCUUGACUCACCGCCUGCUCUGCACAUGCCAUGCCUACAAACACUUGUUCCUUAAAUUUAAACCAUGAGUUUCAGUAAGACUUCUAACAGUUCAAUAAAACAACAAAGACUUCCCUUUCCAGAUUAUUUGACCUGGAUUUUGAGAUAAAAUGUGACUUCCACGAAACCUGUAAAUUACACCGCUGCAGUCCUUACCAGCACAGCAACCCACAGCCCACAGCUAAUGAUGCCCAGCUGCUUCCUCCUUUCUUUGCACGUUAAGUGUGAACUAUUAUCUUUUGUCUUCUUUCCCAUCGCUGUAACAGUGCACACCUGUGCUAAAUGCAGUUGUUUUUGUUUCUAUUUAGCGAUUGUGUAUUUGUUCACUUGAAGAAAAAUAUAUGUAUAACACCUUACUAUGGGCAUUGUGUUCGGUUAGAUUAGUGGGUGCAUCUCCCUUUAACAUGCCCAGAUCACAUAUAAAAAAUAAAAUACAUUUAGAUGCUGCAUGGAAACCAUUAACAUUUGUAGGAUAAAAAAAAAAAAAAUUCAUAUGUGUUUGACAGUGUAGCACAGUUAUCCCCAAAUUCUCAUUGCAAUAAUGUGUUUUCCAAUUUGUAUUUUUUUAUUUUAAUUAUUUAUUAAAUAUAAAUCCGUUGAAGUUGAAUGCAGUCCAAACAAUACCACUGUCGUAUACAUUUAAUUGUCAUGAAAAUAUAAAGGAUUCUGCCACCAUUUACUCAACCUCACGUUGUUCCAAACCUGAAUGACUUUCGGUCAAAUAUAAAAUGAGAUAGAAUAUGUGAUAUAAAAUAGAUUUUUUUUUGUGAAGUGUCUAAUUUGUGUGUGUGUGUGUGUGUAUCUAUACAAUUAAAGUACUUUUUUCAAUUCAAAAUGAUUUUUCUUCCCACUUUUCUUCAAAAUAUCCUCUUUCCUGCAGAAUUAAUUGGCUAAUAUAGGUUUGGCAUGACACGAGGGUUAGUAAAUGAUGACAAAAUGUACAUUUUUGUGUGAACUAUCCAUAUUAUUACCAAUGACUAUUAAUUCUAAUAGUUUUAAAAAGGCUUAUUUAUUUAUGUAUGCAUGCAUGUAUGCAAAAUAUGACCCAGACAAGUUUUUGACAAGUUGCAUGAGAUUUCACACACUUGUAGAUGUGGUCUUUUAUGUCUCUCAUUUAUAUUUCAGCUUACCACGUAUCUGUGUUUGGCAGGUGACUUCAGCAUAGCAUUCUGUCUUUUUAUCUGCACUCAGGUAUGUGUGUUUGUGUGUGUGUGUGUGUGUGUGUGGCCUCUACACUGACACUCUCACCAUUGGAGCCAAAAUGCCAGAGCCCCUGUUAAUCUUAUCAUCACAAUGUAUCUGCUGCUGUGGCUCUGACAGAUCAGGCAGAGGAGGGGUGGCUAAGACGGAGCGCUCGCAGUGACAUCAGGCUUUAUCUGCUCACAGCUCUCUGACGCCAGCCCAGCCAGUUCUCACGUGUCGAGGAGAGGAGAUGAUUAACACCGGCUGCUUUAUUGCGUGCACACUUACGCACAAACGCUCACACAUAGUCAGACAUGCUGAUGCAAACAAACACACCUCUGCUGGAUGCAGCAUCUCUGAGUCCGGGACGACAGACAGCACCACACCAAAUUAUAUUAAAUCAAGAACAGCAGACUUAUUCAAGCAAUUAAUUUUAUUUACAUGAAAAGGGAUAACCCACAAGAAAAAAAUUUAAUCUCUUAAUAAAAAAAUGUAUUAAUGGCUUAAUUGCUUUUCCUAGGCAGUGAUGAGAUUAAAAUGAAAAUGCCUUCUGCUUUUGUCAUAUUUCUCAUGAAAAUUAUACAUGUAUACCGUUUAAACAUAUGGAUCGUUAGUGUUUGUUUGUUUUUGAAAUGAAAGACUGAAUAGAAAUACAGUAAAAACAGUAUAAUACUGUUAGAUUAAUUUAUUCCUGUGAUGAUAAAGUUGAAGCAUCAUUACUCACAUGACACUAUGCUGAUCUGCUCCAGUAUAAAACAGUUGUGCUGCUGAAUAUUUCUUUUGUGAAAACCUUUCCUUUUUUCCAGUACUCAAUACAAAAUUCUAAAGAACAGCGUAUACCUGAAAUUGAAAUAUUUAGUAACAUCAUAAAUACCAUAACUUUCACUUUUGGUCUUUUAAAUGCAAAACAAACAAAUAUAAAAAUAAACUCACUGACCUCAGAUUUUCUAGAGAUUCCUUUGGAAUCUGAUUCAAAUUUUGUCAGAUUUGCCAGAAAACCAUUCAGCAUAAAUACAUAUGUAACCAAGUAACCGUUUCUACUCCAUUUGAAGGUAAUAUUUUCCUCAUUAAGAACUAAUGGUAAAUAAUAUCUUCCUAUUUGUUUAAAACCUCAUAUCAGCUAACAAAUUCAUUAAAUUGUUGCUUUAAGGAAAAACACCUGAGACAAAGUUGGCUAUUAAAUUGACUAUUGAUGUGAAGAAGCUAUAA